UACGUAGGGUGCGAGCGUUGUCCGGAAUUAUUGGGCGUAAAGAGCUUGUAGGCGGUCUGUCGCGUCUGCUGUGAAAAUCCGGGGCUCAACCCCGGACUUGCAGUGGGUACGGGCAGACUAGAGUGUGGUAGGGGAGACUGGAAUUCCUGGUGUAGCGGUGAAAUGCGUAGAUAUCAGGAGGAACACCUGUGGCGAAGGCGGGUCUCUGGGCCGAUACUGACGCUGAGGAGCGAAAGCGUGGGGAGCAAACAGG
rnacentral:rRNA from 1 species